AAGAGGGUGCUUGCUUUUGCUUCACCCUUCUGCCAUGAUUGUGAGUUUCCUGAGGCCUCCCCAACCAUAAGUCCUGUACAGCCUGCACAACUGCAAUUAAUGGCCACCACAGCUGCCCUCUUCACCUCCACCACCACAACUGCCACAUAUUGGUGCUUACAAUGGGCCAUGCCCUGUGCUAGGCAUUAUGAAGAUGAUCUCUUCAAAUCCUCACAACUAUGCUUUGAGGAGCAGCACUUUCCGCCUGCGUCUAGUCGGCCAUCUUGCCCACCCUCCCGGAAUUCUUGGAAAAGGAGUCUUUCUGCCAGAUGCUGACCU